GUUGGAAACGACUGCUAAUACCGCAUAAUGUCUACGGACCAAAGGGGGCUUCGGCUCUCGCCUUUAGAUUGGCCCAAGUGGGAUUAGCUAGUUGGUGAGGUAAUGGCUCACCAAGGCGACGAUCCCUAGCUGGUUUGAGAGGAUGAUCAGCCACACUGGGACUGAGACACGGCCCAGACUCCUACGGGAGGCAGCAGUGGGGAAUAUUGCACAAUGGGCGCAAGCCUGAUGCAGCCAUGCCGCGUGUGUGAAGAAGGCCUUCGGGUUGUAAAGCACUUUCAGUCAGGAGGAAAGGUUAGUAGUUAAUACCUGCUAGCUGUGACGUUACUGACAGAAGAAGCACCGGCUAACUCCGUGCCAGCAGCCGCGGUAAUACGGAGGGUGCGAGCGUUAAUCGGAAUUACUGGGCGUAAAGCGUACGCAGGCGGUUUGUUAAGCGAGAUGUGAAAGCCCCGGGCUCAACCUGGGAACUGCAUUUCGAACUGGCAAACUAGAGUGUGAUAGAGGGUGGUAGAAUUUCAGGUGUAG
rnacentral:rRNA from 1 species